AGAGAAAUUUUCAAUACAGUAAUUAAAGGUAUUAUCAAACGUCUAGCAUCUAUUGCCGGAAAAGAUGAAACAUAUACUCUGGAUGAAUCUACUGUGAGCAAAUUGAAGGAAAUUUUCCCUAGUAACAAAUUUUUGAAAGAAAUA